AACGAACGCUGGCGGCAUGCCUAACACAUGCAAGUCGAACGAGACCUCCGGGUCUAGUGGCGCACGGGUGCGUAACGCGUGGGAACCUGCACUUAGGUUUGGAAUAACUCUCCGAAAGGGGUGCUAAUACCGGAUAAGGUCUUCGGACCAAAGAUUUAUCGCCUUUGGAUGUGCCCGAGUUGGAUUCGUUAGUUGGUACGGUAAAAGCUUAACAAGGGCACGAUGCAUAGCUUGUAUGAGAGGGUGAUCAGCAACCCUGGGACUGAGACACGGCCGAGACUCCGAGGGUAGGAAGCAGUAGGGAAUCCUACGGAAUGGAGGAAAGGGUGAUAGUGCAAAAUCGGGGGAGGGAUGAUGGUGUUCGGACGGGAAAACGAUGAAAGCCGUGAGGAAGUAAUGCGUAAGUAACCGGGAAGAUAUUGACAGUACCGAGAGAAAAAGCCCCGGCUAACUCCGUG
rnacentral:rRNA from 1 species